GAUGAACGCUAGCUACAGGCUUAACACAUGCAAGUCGAGGGGAAACGACAUCGAAAGCUUGCUUUUGGUGGGCGUCGACCGGCGCACGGGUGAGUAACGCGUAUCCAACCUGCCCACCACUUGGGGAUAACCUUGCGAAAGUAAGACUAAUACCCAAUGAUAUCCCACGAAGGCAUCCGAAUGGGAUUAAAGAUUUAUCGGUGAUGGAUGGGGAUGCGUCUGAUUAGCUUGUUGGCGGGGUAACGGCCCACCAAGGCAACGAUCAGUAGGGGUUCUGAGAGGAAGGUCCCCCCACAUUGGAACUGAGACACGGUCCAAACUCCUACGGGAGGCAGCAGUGAGGAAUAUUGGUCAAAUGGGCGAGAGCCUGAACCAGCCAAGUAGCGUGCAGGAUGACGGCCCUAUGGGUUGUAAACUGCUUUAUAAGGGAAUAAAGUGGGUCACGUGUGACUUUUUGCAUGUACCUUAUGAAUAAGGACCGGCUAAUUCCGUGCCAGCAGCCGC
rnacentral:rRNA from 1 species